CCAGACUCCUACGGGAGGCAGCAGUGGGGAAUAUUGCACAAUGGGGGAAACCCUGAUGCAGCGACGCCGCGUGAGUGAAGAAGUAAUUCGUUAUGUAAAGCUCUAUCAGCAGGGAAGAAAAUGACGGUACCUGAGUAAGAAGCCCCGGCUAACUACGUGCCAGCAGCCGCGGUAAUACGUAGGGGGCAAGCGUUAUCCGGAUUUACUGGGUGUAAAGGGGGCGCAGACGGCGAUGCAAGCCAGGAGUGAAAGCCCGGGGCCCAACCCCGGGACUGCUCUUGGAACUGCGUGGCUGGAGUGCAGGAGGGGCAGGCGGAAUUCCUGGUGUAGCGGUGAAAUGCGUAAAUAUCAGGAGGAACACCGGUGGCGAAGGCGACUAUCUGGCACAUAACUGACGCUGAGGAGCGAAAGCGUGGGUAGCAAACAGGAUUAGAUACCCCUGUA
rnacentral:rRNA from 1 species